CAACCCUCAAGCCCCCGGGCUUGGUGUUGGGGAUCGGCGAGCCUCCGCGCCCGCCGUCCCCUAAAUCUAGUGGCGGUCUCGCUGUAGCUUCCUCUGCGUAGUAGCACACCUCGCACUGGGAAACAGCGCGGCCACGCCGUUAAACCCCCAACUUCUCAA
rnacentral:misc_RNA from 1 species